UAAGUGCUUAUAUGCUU
rnacentral:miRNA from 1 species